UGGGGAAUUUUGGACAAUGGGGGCAACCCUGAUCCAGCAAUGCCGCGUGAGUGAAGAAGGCCUUCGGGUUGUAAAGCACUUUAAGCAAGGAGGAAGGCCAUAAGGUUAAUAGCCUUGUGGAUUGACGUUACUUGCAGAAUAAGCACCGGCUAACUCCGUG
rnacentral:rRNA from 1 species